UCGAUUAGCAUGCGAGUCGAGAGGUGCAAGACCUCGGCGCACUGCUCAGUAACACGUGGACAACCUACCCUGUGGAGGGGGAUAACCCCGGAAAACUGGGGAUAAUACCCCAUAGGUUAGGGAGGCUGGAAUGCCCCCUAGCUCAAAGGUCCGCCGCCACAGGAUGGGUCUGCGGCCGAUUAGGUUGUUGUUGGGGUAACGGCCCAACAAGCCUUUGAUCGGUACGGGUUGUGGGAGCAAGAGCCCGGAGAUGGAUUCUGAGACACGAACCCAGGCCCUACGGGGCGCAGCAGGCGCGAAAACUUUACAAUGCGAGAAAUCGUGAUAAGGGAACCCCGAGUGCCCGUAAAUUCGGGCUGUCCGCCAGUGCAAAAAACUGGUGAAGA
rnacentral:rRNA from 1 species